GGUUAAGCUACUAAGAGCACACGGAGGAUGCCUUGGCGCCAGGAGCCGACGAAGGACGGGACGAACACCGAUAUGCCUCGGGGAGCUGUAAGUGAGCUGUGAUCCGAGGGUUUCCGAAUGGGGC
rnacentral:rRNA from 1 species